AUUUUUUUAAUGAUGCAUCUCCAAUUAUACCGAUACAAUUUCUAGUAAAUAAAUCAGUGUUCAAUAAAGUGGGAUAGGCGUCGUCUAGGACGCCUAGGCACUAAACGCUUUUAUACCGUUUUGACUUUUUCAAAAUCGGUUCUAUUAAUCAGUGAGAUAGAUUUGGCAGACUAUGUAAACAUUAAGCGGAUUAGACUCUCAUUAGGUGGGUUAGGCUAGGCGGAUCUAAUCGUCUCUUAAUAUUUUUUAAAAA
rnacentral:sRNA from 1 species